GCCCGAGUGGCGGAAUGGCAGACGCAGCGGACUCAAAAUCCGCCGCCCUCACAGGCGUGUGGGUUCGACUCCCACCUCGGGCACCA
rnacentral:tRNA from 1 species